AGCAGCCGCGGUAAUUCCAGCUCCAAUAGCGUAUAUUAAAGUUGCUGCAGUUAAAAAGCUCGUAGUUGAAUUUCGGGACCAUCAUGUCGGUCGUGCCUCGGUACGUACUGGCAUUGUUGGUUUCUACCUUCUGACGAACCAUGAUGUCAUUUAUUUGGUGUCGUGGGAAAUCAGGACUGUUACUUUGAAAAAAUUAGAGUGUUUAAAGCAGGCUCACGCUUGAAUACAUUAGCAUGGAAUAAUGAAAUAGGACGUUUGAUUCUAUUUUGUUGGUUUCUAGGAUCGACGUAAUGAUUAAUAGGGAUAGUUGGGGGCAUUAGUAUUCAAUUGUCAGAGGUGAAAUUCUUGGAUUUAUUGAAGACUAACUACUGCGAAAGCAUUUGCCAAGGAUGUUUUCAUUAAUCAAGAACGAAAGUUAGGGGACCGAAGACGAUCAGAUACCGUCGUAGUCUUAACCAUAAACUAUGCCGACUAGGGAUCGGAUGAUGUUAAUUUUUUAAUGACUCAUUCGGCGCCUUAC
rnacentral:misc_RNA from 1 species